AGAGUUUGAUCCUGGCUCAGGAUGAACGCUGGCGGCGUGCCUAACACAUGCAAGUCGAGCGAUGAAGCUUGAAGGAAUUCUUCGGAAUGAAAACAAGUGGAUUAGCGGCGGACGGGUGAGUAACGCGUGGGCAACCUGCCUUGUACUAGAGGAUAGCUCCUGGAAACGGGUGGUAAUACUCUAUAAGCUUACGACAAGACAUCUUGAUGUAAGAAAAGGUUUACUGGUAUAAGAGGGGCCCGCGUCUGAUUAGAUAGUUGGUGGGGUAACGGCCUACCAAGUCAACGAUCAGUAGCCGACCUGAGAGGGUGAUCGGCCACAUUGGAACUGAGACACGGUCCAGACUCCUACGGGAGGCAGCAGUGGGGAAUAUUGCACAAUGGAGGGAACUCUGAUGCAGCAACGCCGCGUGAAGGAAGAAGUAUUUCGGUAUGUAAACUUCUAUCAGUAGGGAAGAAAAGAAUGACGGUACCUAACUAAGAAGAACCGGCUAAAUACGUGCCAGCAGCCGCGGUAAUACGUAUGGUUCAAGCGUUAUCCGGAUUUACUGGGUGUAAAGGGUGAGUAGGCGGUUAUGCAAGUCAUAUGUGAAAUGUCGGGGCUCAACUCCGGCCUGCAUAAGAAACUGUAUAACUAGAGUGCAGGAGAGGCAAGCGGAAUUCCUAGUGUAGCGGUGAAAUGCGUAGAUAUUAGGAAGAACACCGGUGGCGAAGGCGGCUUGCUGGACUGUUACUGACGCUGAGUCACGAAAGCGUGGGGAGCAAACAGGAUUAGAUACCCUGGUAGUCCACGCCGUAAACG
rnacentral:rRNA from 1 species